GGGUCGAUAGAUCAGUGGUAGAUCGAGAGAUUGCAGAUCUCCAGGUCGUGGGUUCGAUCCCCACUCGGCCCU
rnacentral:tRNA from 1 species